CCUACGGGUGGCAGCAGUAGGGAAUUUUCGGCAAUGGGGGGAACCCUGACCGAGCAACGCCGCGUGAAGGAAGAAGGAAUUCGUUCUGUAAACUUCUGUUAUAAAGGAAGAAAGACGGAUGGAGGAAAUGACAUCCGAGUGACGGUACUUUAUGAGAAAGCCACGGCUAACUACGUGCCAGCAGCCGCGGUAAUACGUAGGUGGCAAGCGUUAUCCGGAAUUAUUGGGCGUAAAGAGGGAGCAGGCGGCAGCAAAGGUCUGUGGUGAAAGACUGAAGCUUAACUUCAGUAAGCCAUAGAAACCGGGCAGCUAGAGUGCAGGAGAGGAUCGUGGAAUUCCUAGUGUAGCGGUGAAAUGCGUAGAUAUUAGGAGGAACACCAGUGGCGAAGGCGGCCUACUGGACGGUGACUGACGCUGAGGCUCGAAAGCGUGGGGAGCAAACAGGAUUAGAUACCCUGGUAGUC
rnacentral:rRNA from 1 species